rnacentral:rRNA from 1 species
GGCGGACGGGUGAGUACGCGUGGGAACCUGCCCAAUGGUCUGGGAUAACCGCGGGAAACUGCGGCUAAUACCGGAUAAGCCCGAGAGGGGAAAUGAUUUAUCGCCGAUGGAGGGGCCCGCGUCCGAUUAGGUAGUUGGUGAGGUAACGGCUCACCAAGCCGACGAUCGGUAGCUGGUCUGAGAGGAUGAUCAGCCACACUGGGACUGAGAUACGGCCCAGACUCCUACGGGAGGCAGCAGUGGGGAAUAUUGGACAAUGGGGGCAACCCUGAUCCAGCAAUGCCGCGUGAGUGAUGAAGGCCUUAGGGUUGUAAAGCUCUUUUGCCGGGGACGAUGAUGACGGUACCCGGAGAAAUAAGCCCCGGCUAACUUCGUGCCAGCCGCCGCGG